UCCGUAGGUGAACCUGCGGAGGGAUCAUUACCGAGAGAGGGCGCCUCGCGCGCCCGACCUCCCAACCCCUGUACGAACAAACACUGUUGCCUCGGGGGCCGACCCGGUCGCCCCGGAGGACCACUUCAAAAAUCUGCAUCUCUGCGUCGGAGUAUUGAAGCAAAUCAAUCAAAACUUUCAACAACGGAUCUCUUGGUUCUCGCAUCGAUGAAGAACGCAGCGAAAUGCGAUAAGUAAUGUGAAUUGCAGAAUUCAGUGAAUCAUCGAAUCUUUGAACGCACAUUGCGCCCCUUGGUAUUCCGGGGGGCAUGCCCGUUCGAGCGUCAUUACACCACUCGAGCCUGGCUCGGUGUUGGGCGAUGGGACCGCACCCGCGCCCCUAUUCUACCGGCAGGACGGUUGGAUCCUCAGCGUUGUGAAUCAAACUCGCUCGGGGUGAAGGUCGGCCGCGCUGUUAAACCAUUCCAUUCAGGUUGACCUCGGAUCGGGUAGGGAUACCCGCUGAACUUAA
rnacentral:rRNA from 1 species